UACGUAGGGGGCGAGCGUUGUCCGGAAUUAUUGGGCGUAAAGAGCACGUAGGCGGUUUACCAAGUCAGUUGUGAAAACCCGGGGCUCAACUCCGGGACGGCAAAUGAAACUGGUAGGCUUGAGGACAGGAGAGGAGAGUGGAAUUCCUAGUGUAGCGGUGAAAUGCGUAGAUAUUAGGAGGAACACCAGUGGCGAAGGCGACUCUCUGGCCUGUAACUGACGCUGAGGUGCGAAAGCUAGGGGAG
rnacentral:rRNA from 1 species